rnacentral:lncRNA from 1 species
UGUGAGGGCACAGCAAGAAGACCAUGCUCUAUAAAUCAGAAAAUGGGUCCUUACAGACCAAACUGGCUGGCACCUUUAUUGUGGACUUUCCAAUCUGUGGAAAUUUUUUAUAGACCAAAGUUAAGGCUGAAUUGAGAAGGCUCAGAAGACCCUGGCUAGAGUUUCGUCAAGUUUAAAAUGAUCGUCAACUCUGUAUACAUCAAAAUUGAGUUCAGUGCGUGCUGGACUGUUUUCUCUGUUUCAAUAGUAUAUGACUCAUUAAAAUAUGUUGUUACUACUUUUUCUUCAAUCAUAUUGGAUUAGGGACACUUUCUACUAGAGUAUGUUCUCAUCUUCAAUUAACUAAUUACAUCUGCAAUGGUCCUAUUUCCAAAUAAGGGUACAUUCUGAGAUAGUUGGGGGUAUGACUUCAAUAUAUGAGUCUGUGGGGAUACAAUUCUUACCAUAAUUUACAUGAUGUGUUAGGUAAAGAUAAACAGGCGUUUAGUGUGAAGUUUAUGUUUAUGUGUUAGGCUAUGUUUAUCGCUAGUUUUACCUCUGAUGUCAGAGGCCAUAAUUUGCUCUAGUGUUCUUAUUUUUGUGUCCUCUGUUAUCUUUGGCUUUUCUACAG